UACGGAAGGUCCGGGCGUUAUCCGGAUUUAUUGGGUUUAAAGGGAGCGCAGGCCGCCCGAUAAGCGUGUUGUGAAAUGUACCGGCUCAACCGGUGAGUUGCAGCGCGAACUGUCAGGCUUGAGUGCACGGUAAGCAGGCGGAAUUCAUGGUGUAGCGGUGAAAUGCUUAGAUAUCAUGAGGAACUCCGAUUGCGAAGGCAGCUUGCUGCAGUGCGACUGACGCUUAGGCUCGAAGGUGCGGGUAUCAAACAGG
rnacentral:rRNA from 1 species